rnacentral:tRNA from 1 species
ACACCGUUGGUGAAGUGGUUAUCAUGCUUGCCUUCCAU